AAAAGGGGGCGGGCCCAGCGGGGUCACGUGCCGCGCGCGGCCAGUGGGUGCCGGCCGGUUUGUUUUGAUACAUUCCGUCCGCUCUUAAAGGGCCAGGCCCGCCCCCUGCGCGCCGCAUCCGCCAGAGGCCACUUUUCCCUCUUGCAUUUGAUUCACGGGUAACUUUGGGACCCACACGGACCCCACCUUAGAGAGAUAUCAUGAUCUGCAGGAAAAGUCCAAUGAUUCCCUCGCAGCCACCGUUUAUUCAGCACUUGCUGCGUGCGCGGCCUGUGCCUCGCCAGACCCUGCUGAGCUCCAGGGAGGUUCAGUGAGGACUCGGUGAGCUCAGCUGAGAAACAGGUGACCACCAUCCAGGCAAGAUGAAUAAUGCCAGGGCUUCCGUUGCCCCCUCUGAGCCGUGUCCCACCCCUGGAAGUCGCUGCUACCUUGACUUCUAGCUGUUCCCAGAAUUUCACAUCAAUGAAACCACAUGGUAUAUA